rnacentral:rRNA from 1 species
AUGCACGCUGGCGGCGUGCCUAAUACAUGCAAGUCGAGCGCACAGACGAGGAGCUUGCUCCUCUGACGUUAGCGGCGGACGGGUGAGUAACACAUGGAUAACCUACCUAUAAGACUGGGAUAACUUCGGGAAACCGGAGCUAAUACCGGAUAAUAUAUUGAACCGCAUGGUUCAAUAGUGAAAGACGGUUUUGCUGUCACUUAUAGAUGGAUCCGCGCCGCAUUAGCUAGUUGGUAAGGUAACGGCUUACCAAGGCAACGAUGCGUAGCCGACCUGAGAGGGUGAUCGGCCACACUGGAACUGAGACACGGUCCAGACUCCUACGGGAGGCAGCAGUAGGGAAUCUUCCGCAAUGGGCGAAAGCCUGACGGAGCAACGCCGCGUGAGUGAUGAAGGUCUUCGGAUCGUAAAACUCUGUUAUUAGGGAAGAACAAAUGUGUAAGUAACUAUGCACGUCUUGACGGUACCUAAUCAGAAAGCCACGGCUAACUACGUG